rnacentral:lncRNA from 1 species
AAGCAAGCACUAGGGAAGUUGGGCACUUGGUUGGUUAGUGAAGAAAGGUGCAAAUUCUUCCACAGCAAUGGAGUGUUAGGAUCUAGGUGAUUUUUAAGCAUGCUGAUUUUCAAAAUUUUUUCGAAACUAAGGUAGUGGAAGACUGGAUUAAACUCUUUAAUCAAAGCAUGCAAUGAUAAUAUCAUAACACCUAUUUUUGUCAAGAAAAUUAAUAUGCUAGAUCUGAAAUUAUAAAAAAAAAUUAAAUGGUGAACAGAUCACCUUACCUGAUUCGCUUUUCUCUCCUUCU